AGCGAACGCUGGCGGCAUGCUUAACACAUGCAAGUCGCACGAAGGUUUCGGCCUUAGUGGCGGACGGGUGAGUAACGCGUAGGUAUCUAUCCAUGGGUGGGGGAUAACACUUGGAAACAGGUGCUAAUACCGUAUAACAACAAAAUCCGCAUGGAUUUUGUUUGAAAGGUGGCUUCGGCUAUCACUUCUGGAUGAUCCCGCGGCGUAUUAGUUAGUUGGUGAGGUAAAGGCCCACCAAGACGAUGAUACGUAGCCGACCUGAGAGGGUAA
rnacentral:rRNA from 1 species